CGGGGUGAGUAAUGUCUGGGAAACUGCCUGAUGGAGGGGGAUAACUACUGGAGACGGUAGCUAAUACCGCAUAACGUCGCAAGACCAAAGAGGGGGACCUUCGGGCCUCUUGCCAUCGGAUGUGCCCAGAUGGGAUUAGCUAGUAGGUGGGGUAACGGCUCACCUAGGCGACGAUCCCUAGCUGGUCUGAGAGGAUGCCAGCCACACUGGAACUGAGACACGGUCCAG
rnacentral:rRNA from 1 species